rfam:Schistosoma mansoni strain Puerto Rico chromosome W, complete genome
GCACUGCUGAUGAGUCCCAUGCUAGGAUGAAACGACCGUCCAGUAC